CUAAAAUAGUAAAUAAUUAUUUAUUGAAACUUAAAUAAUUUGGCGGUAUUUUAGUUUAUUUAGAGGAAUCUGUUUAAUAAUUGAUAAUCCACGAAUAAAUUUACUUAAUUUUUAAUUUUGUAUAUCGUUGUUAAAAAAAUAUUUUUUAAUAAUUUAUAAUAUUUAAAAAUUAAAAUAUAAAUUAAAUCAGAUCAAGAUGCAGAUUAUAAUUAAGAAUAUAAUGGAUUACAAUAAAUUUAUUUAAAUGAAUAUUAAUUUGUAAUAAUUAAUUGAAAUUGGAUUUAAAUGUAA
rnacentral:rRNA from 1 species